CGGACGGGUGAGUAACACGUGGAUAACCUACCGUAUAAGACUGGGAUAACUUCGGGAAACCGGAGCUAAUACCGGAUAAUAUUUUGAACCGCAUGGUUCAAAAGUGAAAGACGGUCUUGCUGUCACUUAUAGAUGGAUCCGCGCUGCAUUAGCUAGUUGGUAAGGUAACGGCUUACCAAGGCAACGAUGCAUAGCCGACCUGAGAGGGUGAUCGGCCACACUGGAACUGAGACACGGUCCAG
rnacentral:rRNA from 1 species